UACAGAGGGGGCAAGCGUUGUUCGGAAUUACUGGGCGUAAAGGGCGCGUAGGCGCCUUCUAAGUCGAACGUGAAAUCCCCGGGCUCAACCGGGAACUGCGUCCGAUACUGGAAGGCUUGAAUCCGGGAGAGGGAUGCGGAAUUCCAGGUGUAGCGGUGAAAUGCGUAGAUAUCUGGAGGAACACCGGUGGCGAAGGCGGCAUCCUGGACCGGCAUUGACGCUGAGGCGCGAAAGCCAGGGGAGCAAAGCGGG
rnacentral:rRNA from 1 species